UUGCCUCAGCUAACGGACGAGUGAAGCGGCAACAGCUCAAAUUUGAAAGCUGCCAACAGGCCGCAUUGUAAUUUGUAGAGGAUGCUUUGGGGGUUGGCCCGGUCUAAGUUCCUUGGAACAGGACGUCAUAGAGGGUGAGAAUCCCGUAUGUGACCGGUGCUAGCACCCGUGUAAAGCUCCUUCGACGAGUCGAGUUGUUUGGGAAUGCAGCUCAAAAUGGGUGGUAUAUUUCAUCUAAAGCUAAAUAUUGGCCAGAGACCGAUAGCGCACAAGUAGAGUGAUCGAAAGAUGAAAAGCACUUUGGAAAGAGAGUUAAACAGUACGUGAAAUUGUUGAAAGGGAAGCGCUUGCAAUCAGACUUGCGGGCGGUUGAUCAUCCGAGGUUCUCCCCGGUGCACUCGAUCGUCCUCAGGCCAGCAUCGGUUUCGGUGGUGGGAUAAAGGCCUUGGGAAUGUGGCUCCUUCGGGAGUGUUAUAGCCCUCGGUGCAAUGCCGCCUACCGGGACCGAGGACCGCGCUUCGGCUAGGAUGCUGGCGUAAUGGUUGUAAGCGACCCGUCUUGAAACACGGACCAAGGAGUCUAACAUCUAUGCGAGUGUUUGGGUGUCAAACCCAUACGCGUAAUGAAAGUGAACGGAGGUAAGAACCCUUUAGGGCGCAUUAUCGACCGAUCCUGAUGUCUUCGGAUGGAUUUGAGUAAGAGCAUAGCUGUUGGGACCCGAAAGAUGGUGAACUAUGCGUGAAUAGGGUGAAGCCAGAGGAAACUCUGGUGGAGGCU
rnacentral:rRNA from 1 species